AGGCUGUAGAGCUGCUCCUCCUAUUGCCCGUACGAUCACCCAAGCACUCUUGGUGGCCGGCCGUCUCCACCUUCACCAGAUACAUAUUACAGGAAAGUUUCUGAGUCGCCACCCUUUGCUCAUUCCCUUGUUGAAUUAUACAUAACCACAUGUCAUUUUGGCAGUCAGAUUUUGUUGCUAUUUUAAAGAGUCGAUCCAGCCAUUUCUCGCUACAUUCUCCAACGUAAUUUCAUCCUGAGCCGGUCAUGGGAAGAGGAUGAUCUUAAGAGAGAAAUGCUCAAAUACCUCGAUACUUUUAACAGCAAGAACACUUAGUCUUGAAGGGAUUGGUCCGGUCCGCUAAAUAACAUAUGAUGAAUCAAAAGAAGCUCCGAAGUGGUGUGCAACAUUUGAGACAACAAUCAAAGAAAAAUGAUUGCUAAAGCAGAUACAGUUCAUGUGAGUGAUCUCAGCAUAAAUAAUAUGCUGCAUUAUUGCUGUCAGGAAGGGAAUAUUGACAUGAUGUUGCAAGGUAGCGACAACCAUCUAACUCUGUUCCCAUAUUGCUUUGAAGUUUACUUCUUAGUACUAUGUAUUCUGAGAGGUUUUUUACGGUACCCUGGUACUCCUUUUCCCUAGACGGAGUACCCGUCAAAUCUAACCAUGAGUU